AUUGAACGCUGGCGGCAGGCCUAACACAUGCAAGUCGAACGAGUGGCGGACGGGUGAGUAAUGUCUGGGAAACUGCCGGCUGGAGGGGGAUAACUACUGGAAACGGUAGCUAAUACCGCAUACCAUCGGAUGUGCCCCGAUGGGAUUAGCUAGUUGGUGGGGUAACGGCUCACCAAGGCGACGAUCCCUAGCUGGUCUGAGAGGAUGCACAGACACACUGUAACUGCGACACGGUCAAUACUCCUACGUGAGGCAGCAGUGGGGAAUAUUGCACAAUGGGCGCAAGCCUGAGGCAGCCAUGCCGCGUGUAUGAAGAAGGCCUUCGGGUUGGAAAGUACUUUCAGCGGGGAGGCGUUACCCGCAGAAGAAGCACCGGCUAACUCCGUGCCAGCAGCCGCGGUAAUUC
rnacentral:rRNA from 1 species